UACGGAGGAUCCGAGCGUUAUCCGGGUUUAUUGGGUUUAAAGGGUGCGUAGGCGGAAAUGUAAGUCAGUGGUGAAAUCCUGCAGCUUAACUGUAGAAUAGCCGUUGAAACUGUGUUUCUUGAGUACAUUUGAGGUAGGCGGAAUGUGGUGUGUAGCGGUGAAAUGCAUAGAUAUACCACAGAACGCCGAUUGCGAAGGCAGCUUACUAAGCUGUUACUGACGCUGAGGCACGAAAGCGUGGGGAUCAAACAGGAUUAGAUACCCU
rnacentral:rRNA from 1 species